rnacentral:lncRNA from 1 species
AUUAUCUUGGAAUGGAUGGCCCUCAGACCAUGGUGUGCCAGUAGUUCCUGGGGCUGUGGAUUCUAUCUGCACAUAUGCAUUUGGCAGAAUUUGGCAUGGCCAUUUCCUGUCCCUCCAAUAGCACCGCAUUCAGAUUCACCGUGACCACUAACAUCCAGUGUACUUUUUACCAUUUCUUUGUAAGGCGUCUCUACAAUCUCUUUCUCCAACAACUUUGAAGUUACUGGUGGCUGGAGUUCCAGAUGGCAGCGGUGAACUGUACC